CAGAGAAGGGUUUUCUUACAUCUUCUUCUCUCUCUCUAAGAAUUUUCUCUCUCUACAAAAAAGCCGCCGAUUCGAGUCGAUUUCGCGCUCCGGUCGACGCUCGCUGAUUGGACGACUCAAAGGAAGCUUGCAGCACGUGGGGAGGAGGAUUUUUCUCUGAGUUCUCUGUGAGCAGGUUUUUAAGCAAGUUGAACUAAAUUAGUGACCGUGGGGACUGGUUUAGAAGGUAUUCUAACCUGAGCGAGAGUGUGAUCAAGCUUCGGAUUGUCUUGAGUUGACUUAGAAGAGCUUUUGGGAGCUUUUGGAGGCUUAAUUUGAGCAGGAUUGGGAUCUUGUUGAGCUGAUUAUUGGGACAUCUUGUGACUGAUUUGGGCUUAGUACGAGAGCCCGCUUCAGGAGA